CACGUAGGGCGCAAGCGUUGUCCGGAAUUAUUGGGCGUAAAGAGCUCGUAGGCGGUUUUGUCGCGUCGGCUGUGAAAACUCGGGGGCUCAACCCCGAGCCUGCAGUCGAUACGGGCAAACUAGAGUGUGGUAGGGGAGACUGGAAUUCCUGGUGUAGCGGUGAAAUGCGCAGAUAUCAGGAGGAACACCGGCGGCGAAGGCGGGUCUCUGGGCCAUAACUGACGCUGAGGAGCGAAAGCGUGGGGAGCGAGCAGG
rnacentral:rRNA from 1 species